GGGCCGGGGCGGGGGCUAUACAUGCAAGUCGAACGAACUCUGGUAUUGAUUGGUGCUUGCAUCAUGAUUUACAUUUGAGUGAGUGGCGAACUGGUGAGUAACACGUGGGAAACCUGCCCAGAAGCGGGGGAUAACACCUGGAAACAGAUGCUAAUACCGCAUAACAACUUGGACCGCAUGGUCCGAGUUUGAAAGAUGGCUUCGGCUAUCACUUUUGGAUGGUCCCGCGGCGUAUUAGCUAGAUGGUGGGGUAACGGCUCACCAUGGCAAUGAUACGUAGCCGACCUGAGAGGGUAAUCGGCCACAUUGGGACUGAGACACGGCCCAAACUCCUACGGGAGGCAGCAGUAGGGAAUCUUCCACAAUGGACGAAAGUCUGAUGGAGCAACGCCGCGUGAGUGAAGAAGGGUUUCGGCUCGUAAAACUCUGUUGUUAAAGAAGAACAUAUCUGAGAGUAACUGUUCAGGUAUUGACGGUAUUUAACCAGAAAGCCACGGCUAACUACGUGCCAGCAGCCGCGGUAAUACGUAGGUGGCAAGCGUUGUCCGGAUUUAUUGGGCGUAAAGCGAGCGCAGGCGGUUUUUUAAGUCUGAUGUGAAAGCCUUCGGCUCAACCGAAGAAGUGCAUCGGAAACUGGGAAACUUGAGUGCAGAAGAGGACAGUGGAACUCCAUGUGUAGCGGUGAAAUGCGUAGAUAUAUGGAAGAACACCAGUGGCGAAGGCGGCUGUCUGGUCUGUAACUGACGCUGAGGCUCGAAAGUAUGGGUAGCAAACAGGAUUAGAUACCCUGGUAGUCCAUACCGUAAACGAUGAAUGCUAAGUGUUGGAGGGUUUCCGCCCUUCAGUGCUGCAGCUAACGCAUUAAGCAUUCCGCCUGGGGAGUACGGCCGCAAGGCUGAAACUCAAAGGAAUUGACGGGGGCCCGCACAAGCGGUGGAGCAUGUGGUUUAAUUCGAAGCUACGCGAAGAACCUUACCAGGUCUUGACAUACUAUGCAAAUCUAAGAGAUUAGACGUUCCCUUCGGGGACAU
rnacentral:rRNA from 1 species